UACGUAGGGGGCAAGCGUUGUCCGGAAUUAUUGGGCGUUAAAGGGCGCGUAGGCGGCCAUGCGUGUCUUCCGUGAAAUCCCUCGGCGUUAACUGAGGACGUGCGGAAGAAACUGCAAGGCUUGAGUCCGGGAGAGGGGGAUGGAAUUCCCAGUGUAGCGGUGAAAAUGCGUAGAUAUUGGGAGGAACACCGGUGGCGAAGGCGGCCCCCUGGACCGGUACUGACGCUGAGGCGCGAAAGCGUGGGUAGCAAACGGG
rnacentral:rRNA from 1 species